rnacentral:rRNA from 1 species
CCUACGGGAGGCAGCAGUGGGGAAUAUUGCGCAAUGGGCGAAAGCCUGACGCAGCGACGCAGCGUGAGGGAUGAAGGUCUUCGGAUCGUAAACCUCUGUCAGCAGGGAAGAACGGUCACUGUGCUAAUCAGCAGUGAAUUGACGGUACCUGCAAAGGAAGCACCGACUAACUCCGUGCCAGCAGCCGCGGUAAUACGGAGGGUGCGAGCGUUAAUCGGAAUUACUGGGCGUAAAGCGCUCGUAGGUGGUAUGUCAAGUCAAGGGUGAAAUCCCCGCGCUGAACGUAGGAACUGCCUUUGAAACUGGCAAACUGGAGUGUGUGAGAGGAUAGUGGAAUUCCAGGUGUAGGAGUGAAAGCCGUAGAUAUCUGGAGGAACUUCAGUGGCGAAGGCGACUAUCUGGCACAUAACUGACGCUGAGGAGCGAAAGCGUGGGUAGCAAACAGGAUUAGAUACCCUAGUAGUC